rnacentral:lncRNA from 1 species
UCAAACUGAAAUGAAAACUAAAGCGCAUUUCAAUGGAUUUAAUCGCUAUUUUUUUUUUAGAAUCUCGGAUUCGCUAAACAAACCCAUUUUCUUUCUUCAAUAAUUAAUAAUAAUAAAAUCUCGUAUGGGAAUUCCAUAUGGAUUUGCCUCUUUUCCUGUUCCCAUCACAAUCAAAGAGUUAUUGAUACUUCCUUUCUUUGGUAUACUCACCUACUUUUGGUGAAUUUGCGGAGUCAAAAUCAUGACACGAAUCCGGGGGAGACGCCGACGUAACCCAACUCAAAUGAAUAGUAAGUCGCAUGGAUAUAGGAACGAUUACGGUAUUUGUUGACACCUCAGCGUUUGAAAAACGAAUAGCUUUUCAUAAACAUAAUCAGAACAGAAAAUAUUCUAUAUAUUGAGAAUAGAAUCAAAAUCGAUUGAAUUUCGAAGAUUCGAAUUCGAAAUCGAAACAAAAAUUCGAAUUUUCUUUUGACUCCUUGAUUUAGACAAGUCCGAAGCGCGGUGAACGCAAAAGGUUUGUUUGUUUGUUUGUAUAAAGAAUUAUACUAUAUGAAAUAAAAUCGAAGGAAGUGUAAUGAAAAUAGGAUUCCAAUCGAUAAAUCUUAAAACGAACAUCACAACAAACAAACGAAACUUUGCGGUUCGAUCAAAAAUGAAUUGUUGUUUUGAAUUAACCAAUUAUCGAUGACUUGACAAUGAAUUCCAAUUUGCAUCGACAAAUUUGGUCUAUUUUCCACAUUCAUAGGAGUUUGGCUAUGUUCUGCUUUACAAAUAUGAUAUUUUCUGGCAUUCUAAUAAUACAAGCGUUAUUCCUAUUUUGGCAUUUCUAAUUUCCGCAGUUUUAGCCCCGAUUAACAAAGGGCCAGAGAAACUUUCUAGUUAUGAAUCGGUAAUCGAACCAAUGGGCGAUGCUUGUUACAAUUUCGAAUCCGGUAUUAUAUGUUUGCUCUAGUUUGUUGUUUUUGAUGUUGAAACCGUUUUUCUUAUCCAUGGGCAAUGAGUUUUGAUGUAUUGGGGGUACCCGUAUUUAUAGAAGCUUCAUUUCAUGCUUAUCCUAAUUGUUGGUUUAGUUUAUGCGUGGCGAAAAGGAGCAUUAGAGUGUCUUAGUUUCUGAAUAUUCAACAAUAACAAAAAAGUAAAAAAAAAAAAAAAAAACAAAAAAUAACAUGAAGAAUUAUGAAUUCUAUUGAAUUUUCCUUACUUGAUCGAACAACCCCAAAUUCAUUUAUUUCAACUACAUCAAACGAUCUUUCAAAUUGGUCAAGACUCCCAGCUUAUGGCCGCUUCUUUAUGGUACCAGUUGUUGUUUCAUUGAAUUUGCUUCAUUAAUCGGCUCGCGGUUCGAUUUGACCGUUAUGGCUGUACCAAGAUCGAGCCCUAGACAGGCGACCUAAUUUUAACAGCUGUACAGUAACAAUGAAAAUGGCUCCUUCUUUAGUGAGAUUAUAUGAACAAAUGCCUGAACCAAAAUAUGUAUUGCUAUGGAGCAUGUACAAUUACAGGGGGAUGUUCAGUACCGAUCGUAUAGUACUGUUCGAGGAGUUGAUAAGCUAAUUCCCGUGGAUGUUUAUUUGCCGGGUUGCCCGCCUAAACCAGAGGCCGUUAUAGAUGCCAUAACAAAACUUCGUAAGAAAAUAUCUCGAGAAAUCUAUGAAGAUCGAAUUCGAUUGCAACGGGAGAAUCGCUCGUUUACUUUUACUACCAAUCACAAGUUUCGUGUUGUAUGCAGUACUAAUACUGGAAAUUAUGAAUCAAGGAUUACUUUAUCAACCACCAUCUACGUCAGAAAUCCCGCCUGAAACCUUUUCAAAUACAAAAGUUCAGUAUCUUCCCCGAAUUCAUUAAUUAGCAGGAGGAUUCAUUGUACAGAAUAAGAAAGAGCGAAUUAAUCUUCAUAAAUCCAAAAAUUCAUCGUAAAUGUGAAAUAUUUAUCGAAAUCAAAAUGUGGAGAGAUAAAAAAGAUGCAGGUCGUUUGUCUGCUUGCUGGUCAAGCAUGGGCUAGUUCAUAGAUCUUUGGCUUGAUUACCAAGAAUAGAAACUUUACAAAUAAAGCCGAGGAUUGCACUCCGUUGCUGUCAUUUUGUAUAUAUAUGGCUACAAUUAUCUACGUCCCAAUGUGCCUAUGAUGUAGCACCGGGCGGACUGUUAGCCAGUGUGUAUCAUCUUACGCGAAUAGAGUAUGGUGUAGAUCAACCAGAAGAGGUAUGCAUAAAAGUAUUUGCUCCAAGGAGUAAUCCUAAAAUUCCAUCGGUUUCUGGUUUGGAAAAGUGCGAAUUUUCAAGAACGGGAAUCUUAUGAUAUGCUGGGAAUCCUUUAUGAUAAUCAUCCACGACUGAAACGUAUCUUAAUGCCUGAAAGUUGGAUAGGGUGGCCCUUACGUAAGGAUUAUAUUGCCCCAAUUUUAUGAAAUACAAGAUGCUUAUUGAAUUCUAAGAAAUAAUCUUCAUUUUGACCCAAUAUUCAAGAAAUAUUUGUACGUUCUUUCUCUAGAUCAAACGGAGGAAUUGAAGUCUCAUUCGUAUUAUUAUUGUGAAUGGGAUAAAGAAAUUAAAGAGUUCUGUAUCAUGAACUUUGUAUCGCGCACACCACUUCGACGGCUCUAGCGGUCACAGAGAGGGGAAGGAAGAAAUAAAAUAAAAAAAAAAUAAAAGAAAAAAAGGCCUAUUCCCAGACAUCGAGCUAGAUGGAUAAGUAUGUAUGUAUCAUGAUCUAUAAAUGAAUAUGUAUGGCGAGCCAUAUCACUGAAUUUGUAGUGAUAGAUACUCAUAGAUAUUAAUCAUAUGCCAGGAACCAGAUUUGAACUGGUGACACGAGGAUUUUCAGUCCUCUGCUCUACCAGCUGAGCUAUCCCGACCAUUUCCGACACACCGUUCUCAUCUUACUAGAUGACUUGGGUCUAUGUCAAUUAAAAAAUAAACAGGGAUUAAAAGUCUUGGGAGGGGAAUUUCAUUUCUUGAAUCAUCAAAAAGAAGACUUUGUAAGUUUCAGUAUGAGCAAUAAUAUGGAUUGGAAUCAUUAAAACGGGAUUCCUUGCUCAAAGGUGUUCAUUUCUACAUAUAUCGUAUAGACCAUACGGCUUGUGAUAAGAGAAAAAAAUUCUGCCCAUAUCCUUUUGGAAAUGGAAAAAGAGUAGGAUAGAUGAGAAACCUACCGACUUUUGAACCACUAACAAAAAAAGGAGAAGGUAGGAGAAAUGGUUAGGGAGUCAAUAGGCCUUUUUUGGGUGGGAUAGAGGGACUUGAACCCUCACGAUUUCUAAAGUCGACGGAUUUCCUUUUACUCUAAAUUCAUUGUUGCCCGUAUUGAUAUUGACAUGUAGAAUGGGACUCUAUCUUUAUUCUCGUCCGAUUAAUCAGUUCUUCAAAAGUCAAAAGAAAGGAUCGAUCAGACCAUGGAGGUGGAGUGAAUGAUUUGAGCCGGGAAUAUUCGAUUCUUUCUUCAACUUAGAAUCGAUUCAUAACAAUAACAAUUCUUUUCUUUUUCAUAAAAAGAAAUACGUAUUUGGUUGUGAUUUUUGAGUUAGUUUUCGCUGCGUAUACAUAGUCUAUAUACCCUUAUCCUUCAUCCUUUAUCGAGUUUCGAUAUUCGAUAGAAGCAUUCAUUUGACUUUCUUUUUCUUUACCAAAAAGGGCAGUCAACUCCAUUUGUUAGAACAGCUUCCAUUGAGUCUCUGCACCUAUCCCCCUUUUUCGCUUUCUGAACCCCUGUUUGUUCUUGGAAAAGAGAAGAGGAUUUGGCUCAGGAUUACCCAUUUUUAAUUCCUGGUUUCUCUGAAUUUGAAAGUUAUCACUUAGUAAGUUUCCAUACUAAGGCUCAAUCCAAUUAAGUCCGUAGCGUCUACCAAUUUCGCCAUAUCCCCUUUGUGUUUUAGGAACUCAAUGCUGUUCCCCCUUUCUUUCAUUUCUGCGGAAACAGUAGAAUUCCGUAGAUAUGGAUUUAUAUAUAUCGAAAGGUGUUUUGCUUUCUUGUCAGAAAUGAUUCUAUCUUUUCUGUAUCCGCAAUUCAAUAUAGAUGGAUAUAAACUACCAUAAAAUAUAUAUGCCCCCCUUACUCUCAUUUUUUCGUGCAAUCCGGCGGAAUACUCGAACGGUCGAUUUAUUUUUUCGUUUUUUCUUACGCCCCUUUUCGAAUGAAAACAAAAAUGUCUCAUUCUAAUCCAGAUUCCAUUUAGCGGGAUUGUAUCUUUCUCUUUCAUUUCAUUUUCUAUUUAUACUUGCCCUUUCCUUAAGGAAGAACCUAUAUAACAUAACCAAAAAUAACUCAAAUUCCAAUUUCAAUUUAUUAAAUAAAAAUAAAUCAUUUUUAUUAAUCAUUUAGAAUAUAAUAGCUAGACCUAAUCAAUAGAAUAGCUAUAACUACUCAGUCAAUUAAAUUAGAAUUCGAAGAUAAUUCUAAUUAUUUAGUCUAAAGCCUAAUUAUUUCGAAUUAGAAUAGAGCAAAUUUAGAAUUUCGAAAAUGGAUAAUAAGAAUCGAAUAUAAUAUUCGAUUUAGAAUAACUAAAUAUAUAUAGAAUAUAGAAUAAUAAUCGAAUAUUAUGUAUAUUCUAUAAUAUAGAAUAAUCGAAUAGAAUAUAUUAAGAAUCUUAGGUUAGAAACAAAAAAAUAAUUUUAAAUGUCUUGAAUUCAAAAAUGAAAAAAAAAAAAAUAAUAAAUAAAUCAAAUCGUAUUUUAUUAUCUAAUUAAGAGUAAGAUAUUUAUUGUUGAUCAAUAUAGAAUUGAUAAAAAAAUCCAAAUUCGCUAAUAUAUAUCAUCACUAGAUUCUCGUAAUUGUUAGAUUAAUCGUUAUGUUCUAUAUCUAUAGUAUUCAACAUUUAUUGAAAUUCGAUUCUCUAUUUAUUCUUUAUGAAUAGCUAAGAAUAAAAGGUUAAUAGAUAAGAUCCUAGGAUCCCUACGCAUGUACAAUUUCUCUUAUUUAAGCCCGCUUAGCUCAGAGGUUAGAGCAUCGCAUUUGUAAUGCGAUGGUCAUCGGUUCGAUUCCGAUAGCCGGCUUUUCUCUAUUUGUUUGAUUUUUUACAUGAUUGAUAAUGUCUUUUUGAAAGAAAAGAACAUUGAAAAGGCUUCUUCCAAGGAUCAUCGAUCCAGUAUGUUGUAGGAGCUUCCAAUUAUGAAUAAAAGUUGGAGGAAGUUCGAUUUCGGCAGAAUAAAUCAAGAAAAGGAACCCUCUUUUGAUUUAUAUUUCUAUAUGCGUAUACAAUACAAAAAGGGGUCUGGAAUUUGAUACAAAUCAUCUUAGUAUUCUUUGUAGUACAAUACUUCAGCGGAUUUUGCUUCAUUUAUCAUGUAGCUCAGUUUUAAUUUAGGUUUAUGAAAUUCAAUAAAAUAAGGAGUCUUUAUGUCACGUUACCGAGGGCCUCGUUCAAAAAAAUACGCCGUCUGGGGGCUUUGCCGGGACUAACGAGUAAAAGGCCUAGAGCCGGAAGCGAUUUUAGAAACCAAUUGCGCUCCGUAAAAAAAUCUCAAUAUCGAAUUCGUUUAGAAGAAAAACAAAAAUUGCGUUUUCAUUAUGGUCUUACAGAACGACAAUUACUUAAAUAUGUUCGUAUCGCCAGAAAAGCCAAAGGGUCAACCGGUCUGGUUUUACUACAAUUACUUGAAAUGCGUUUGGAUAACAUUCUUUUCGAUUGGGUAUGGCUUCAACUAUUCCUCAAGCCCGCCAAUUGGUUAACCAUCGACAUAUUUUAGUUAAUGGUCGUAUAGUCGAUAUACCAAGUUAUCGUUGCAAACCCCGAGAUAUUAUUACAGUAAGGGAUGACCCAAAAUCUAGAUCUCUGGUUCAAAAUUAUCUUGAUUCAUCCCACCAUGAGGAAUUGCCAAAGCAUUUGACUCUUCGCGCAUUCCAAUAUAAAGGAUUAGUCAAUCAAAUAAUAGAUAGUCAAUGGGUCGGUUUGAAAAUAAAUGAAUUGCUUGUCGUAGAAUAUUAUUCUCGUCAAACUUAAACCUAACUAAAAUAACGGGCUCGUACAAAUUUACCCUUUCACCUAACUUAAGGAAAGGGAUACAAGGUAAGGAGUUUGAUCCGUGGAGUUUUUUUUUAUCCCAUUCAUGUAUCAUAGAUCCGAGGGUAGAUUUUAUCCCCUGCCUGCCCCUUCCCUUUCUUUCCCGUAGGAAUUGAGAAUCUAGCUCAAAAAAAGGUCUGACUGCUUCGGUAUUCAUUCUUUUUGCUUGGAUACAUUCCGGUCAGUAACAUUGAUGAAUUAGUUCAAGGUACGGAAAGAGAGGGAUUCGAACCCCCGGUAAACAAAAGUCUACAUAGCAGUUCCAAUGCUACGCCUUGAACCACUCGGCCAUCUCUCCUACACAAUGAUUAUGACCGAGAACCCGCGUGAAUAGCGAGUUGUUCAAAUUCGAUUGGUAGAUGGGUACGGACAAUCGAAUCCGUUCUAACUAGAAAAAUAGAAACCCUUUCAGCAAAGAAAAAAUUCUUCCUUUGAGUCUGGGGAAAAGGAUAACUUUUUUGUUUGUGAAAAACUGUUCAAAACAAAAAACAAUAAGGCUAUAUAUCUUGUUUGCAAAGAUGGCGCUCCUUUUUUUUUUUUUUUUCUGAUAUUUCUACCUGAUUUAAUCAAUGAGUUGGAACGAAUCAACGGAUCGGUCUAUUUUUUUUUUAUUUUUUUUAACACGUCUGCUUUUAUGUUAUUUUGUACUGUACAAUUCCUUUGUUUGUGGGAUCAUUUUCUCACAAGAGGUAAUGAAACGAAUUAUAGAAUGGAUUUUUACCUAUGCCUAGAUCGCGGAUAAACGGAAAUUUUAUUGAUAAGACCUUUUCGAUUGUAGCCAAUAUAUUAUUACGAAUAAUUCCGACAACUGUAGGAGAAAAAGAGGCAUUUACCUAUUACAGAGAUGGUGCGAUUUGAUUAGUUUUUUAUUUACCCCUUUCGGUCUUAGAAGAAAGAAAGACAAUUCGGGAUAGAAAAAAAAAAAAAAAAGAUUAUUGAAAAAAUCUACGCUUGUUGAAGGUGAAGUUUAUAGAUAAAACCAUUCCUUCUGUCGUGUAUCCCCGAUUAAUGCAGCCUCAGAUGCUUCAAUUGUCGAUUCUAGUAUUGAGCGAAAGGUUACACCUAUGGGUUCUGUAUUGCAAGUCAACCCUACUACACCAGUACCAAUAGGCGGCAUAGGGGAAGAGGCGCUACGUCUAGGAAUCAGCAACACGAAAACUUUGUUAUAAGCUGCCCCUUUCCUUAGCGGGAUCGGGACUAAGAAGAAUGGUUGGAUAACAAACAUCCAUCUCGUUCGUACUGUGGAUACCCGUAUAACCAUCGAAGACUGUUGAAGUGAUUAAUUCCUGUAAAUUAAGGGGCGUUGAGAACAAAGAAAUUGUUGGAGUUUCCGGUUUUAUCUAGUACCAACACGCGUGAUAUUAAGAAAAAAGCUUUUGCAGGAAGGUUGGCUAGAGAUUUUGUAAAAACAUUAGCCCCACUUAGUUCAUAAUGAGAAUAUUUCAAUCUUUUUGAUUUCAUGGAUUAUUCUCAUAAUGCACAUAAAGGAGGAGCCGUAUGAGAUUUUCAUCUCAUGUACGGUUUUGAAACGGAGAAUUCUUUGAAUCGAAUGACGACCGUAACGGAUGUCAGCUCAAUCUGAAGGCAAUUAUGCGGAAGCUUUACAGAAUUAUUAUGAAGCUAUGCGACUAGAAAUUGAUCCUUACGAUCGAAGCUAUAUACUCUAUAACAUAGGCCUUAUCCACACAAGUAACGGAGAACAUACAAAAGCUUUAGAAUAUUAUUUUCGGGCACUAGAACGAAAUCCGUUCUUACCACAAGCUUUUAAUAAUAUGGCUGUGAUCUGUCAUUACGUGCGACUAUCUCUACUAUAGAAAGAAAAAAGUAAAAGAAAAAAAAAAAGGAGGGGGGGUAAAGAGCAAAUACACUAAUAAAUACUCGAAAAAAAAAAAAUAGGCUUUCUACAUAUGCAUCGUGCAAAAACGAUUUUUAUCAGCUGUAGCAAAGAAAGAAACUUCAUAGAAGUCGAAAUAUGAAGAAAUCGAUAUGCCUAGAUAGUUUAUUCUAUGGAUAAAGGAUCUAAUUGAUAGAGGAAGCACCGUAAAGAUCAAUUCGCGAGGUUUUGGGCCGAUGCCGAUCCAAUAAGAACUGCUUAUUUAUGUCAUGAUAUGAGAUAAAAGUAAGGAAUCCACUUAUGUAAUAAAGUCGAUCCCCUAAGGUAUUGAGCAGCGGUGUAGCAUCAGAUCCCAAAGACAGUAAGCCUUUUCUUUCUUAGGAAGAAAGGGCUUUUUCAAAGAUUCUAUAUCAAUUUUUAUAUGAAACCGAGAUAGAUACCUUUCAGAAAAUUCUAACUAUAGUGGAAAUGCUUCUAUGUUAUUCUUCUGACGGUGGAGAAAAGAUAAAAUGAAAGCAAAGCUGAUUAUUAAUUUAAUCAAAAGUCAAGUUUGAAACUCAUGCUCAUGGAAUUAACCUCUUUUGGUUAACCCCCCAAAAAAAAGAAUAAAGAUAAAGAUCGAUCUAUGAGAAAUCUCAUUCAAUUCGAUAUACUAGAUUCAAAAACCCGGGACACCAAAAGAAUUGAUUGCCGAGCCGUAUGAGGCGGGAAACUCUCAAGUACGGUUCUAAGGAAAGGAAUUGAACCACCUAUUCCGACCGGGGGGAACAGGCCGUUCGACAGGGAGAUUCUGAAAUUGCGGAGGCUUGGUUCAAUCAAGCUGCCGAGUAUUGGAAACAAGCUAUUGCGCUUACUCCUGGUAAUUAUAUUCAAGCGCAGAAUUGGUUGAAGAUCACGGGACGUUUCGAAUAAGAAACUCUCUGUUUAUUUAUUUAGAAUUUUAUUUCUUUAGAAUUUCGAUAUCUAUUUUCGUUUGGUAUAAUUAAAAAUUAAUUGUCUGUUAGCCCUAUCAGUGGAAUAUAAAAGGGAUCAUUUAUCUGGUAAGAAACAAUCAAGGAAUUUCAUUAUAUCCUUUCUAAGAUCGUUCUAUUUCGUCUGGUAUUUCAUAAGGAUAAACGAUACAGGGAUACGGUAGAAAAUGUAUUUUUCUCCUAUUCUAUUCAAAUUAAUAAAAGAGACCCCUCGCAGGAAUGUCUCUUAUCCUAGUAAUUACUAAUGACUGCUUGGAAUAAAGUAAUAUGUUCUAUAUACGCCAUUAAAGUAGCAGCUGCAUUUCGGGACUUCUAAUUGAGAUAUGAAUACACUAAGGUUGUACAAAAAAAGGGUUUUUGACAAAUUUUAAGCCCGUAAAGGGUUUUAUAAGAUUAAAAAAGAUUCAAAAGGUCCGUUGAGCGCCUCCUGGAUAUGUCAUAAUAGAUCCGAACACUUGCCCUGGAUCGACUUCCAGACAUAAUUGCUCUAGUGAAUAACUAAAGAAAAUAAAUAGAUGGGAGAUAGAAGUAGAAGAGAAAGAAACUAAUUCUAAGCAUCUCUCAUAGGUUCACUAAUCACUGGACUGACUGUUGGCGGGUUUCUUUGUAUGUGUUGUCCGGAAAGAGGAGGACUCAAUGAUUAUUCGUUCGCCGGAACCAGAAGUAAAAAUUUUGGUAGAUAGGGAUCCCGUAAAAACUUCUUUCGAGGAAUGGGCCAAACCGGGGCAUUUCUCAAGAACCAUAGCUAAGGGACCUGAGACUACCACUUGGAUCUGGAACCUACAUGCUGAUGCUCACGACUUCGAUAGCCAUACCAGUGAUUUGGAGGAGAUCUCUCGAAAAGUAUUUAGUGCCCAUUUCGGACAACUCUCCAUCAUUUUUCUUUGGCUGAGCGGAAUGUAUUUCCACGGUGCUCGUUUUUCCAAUUAUGAAGCCUGGCUAAGCGAUCCUACUCACAUUGGACCUAGCGCACAGGUGGUUUGGCCAAUAGUGGGCCAAGAAAUAUUGAACGGUGAUGUGGGCGGGGGUUUCCGAGGAAUACAAAUAACCUCCGGGUUUUUUCAGCUUUGGCGAGCAUCUGGAAUAACUAGUGAAUUACAACUCUAUUGUACCGCAAUUGGCGCAUUGAUUUUUGCAGCCUUAAUGCUUUUUGCUGGUUGGUUCCAUUAUCACAAAGCUGCUCCAAAAUUGGCUUGGUUUCAGGAUGUAGAAUCUAUGUUGAACCACCAUUUAGCGGGGCUGCUAGGGCUCGGUCCCUUUCUUGGGCCGGGCAUCAAGUACAUGUAUCUUUACCGAUUAACCAAUUUCUAAACGCUGGAGUAGAUCCUAAAGAGAUCCCACUUCCUCAUGAAUUUAUCUUGAAUCGGGAUCUUUUGGCUCAACUUUAUCCCAGUUUUGCCGAAGGAGCAACCCCAUUUUUUACCUUGAAUUGGUCAAAAUAUGCGGAAUUUCUUACUUUUCGUGGCGGAUUAGAUCCAGUAACUGGGGGUCUAUGGCUGACCGAUAUUGCACACCAUCAUUUAGCUAUUGCAAUUCUUUUCCUGAUCGCGGGGCACAUGUAUAGGACCAACUGGGGGAUUGGUCAUGGUCUAAAAAAGAUAUUUUAGAGGCUCAUAAAGGUCCAUUUACAGGUCAAGGCCAUAAAGAUAAUAGAAGAUCCUAACAUAGCUAGGUUAAGCGAUAAUGAGCAUGCCAUGAUGUUGUUAGGAUCUCAUAUAAUCCUUUAUGGCCUUGACCUGUAAAUGGACCUUUAUGAGCCUCUAAAAUAUCUUUUAGACCAUGACCAAUCCCCCAGUUGGUCCUAUACAUGUGCCCCGCGAUCAGGAAAAGAAUUGCAAUAGCUAAAUGAUGGUGUGCAAUAUCGGUCAGCCAUAGACCCCCAGUUACUGGAUCUAAUCCGCCACGAAAAGUAAGAAAUUCCGCAUAUUUUGACCAAUUCAAGGUAAAAAAUGGGGUUGCUCCUUCGGCAAAACUGGGAUAAAGUUGAGCCAAAAGAUCCCGAUUCAAGAUAAAUUCAUGAGGAAGUGGGAUCUCUUUAGGAUCUACUCCAGCGUUUAGAAAUUGGUUAAUCGGUAAAGAUACAUGUACUUGAUGCCCGGCCCAAGAAAGGGACCCGAGCCCUAGCAGCCCCGCUAAAUGGUGGUUCAACAUAGAUUCUACAUCCUGAAACCAAGCCAAUUUUGGAGCAGCUUUGUGAUAAUGGAACCAACCAGCAAAAAGCAUUAAGGCUGCAAAAAUCAAUGCGCCAAUUGCGGUACAAUAGAGUUGUAAUUCACUAGUUAUUCCAGAUGCUCGCCAAAGCUGAAAAAACCCGGAGGUUAUUUGUAUUCCUCGGAAACCCCCGCCCACAUCACCGUUCAAUAUUUCUUGGCCCACUAUUGGCCAAACCACCUGUGCGCUAGGUCCAAUGUGAGUAGGAUCGCUUAGCCAGGCUUCAUAAUUGGAAAAACGAGCACCGUGGAAAUACAUUCCGCUCAGCCAAAGAAAAAUGAUGGAGAGUUGUCCGAAAUGGGCACUAAAUACUUUUCGAGAGAUCUCCUCCAAAUCACUGGUAUGGCUAUCGAAGUCGUGAGCAUCAGCAUGUAGGUUCCAGAUCCAAGUGGUAGUCUCAGGUCCCUUAGCUAUGGUUCUUGAGAAAUGCCCCGGUUUGGCCCAUUCCUCGAAAGAAGUUUUUACGGGAUCCCUAUCUACCAAAAUUUUUACUUCUGGUUCCGGCGAACGAAUAAUCAUUGAGUCCUCCUCUUUCCGGACAACACAUACAAAGAAACCCGCCAACAGUCAGUCCAGUGAUUAGUGAACCUAUGAGAGAUGCUUAGAAUUAGUUUCUUUCUCUUCUACUUCUAUCUCCCAUCUAUUUAUUUUCUUUAGUUAUUCACUAGAGCAAUUAUGUCUGGAAGUCGAUCCAGGGCAAGUGUUCGGAUCUAUUAUGACAUAUCCAGGAGGCGCUCAACGGACCUUUUGAAUCUUUUUUAAUCUUAUAAAACCCUUUACGGGCUUAAAAUUUGUCAAAAACCCUUUUUUUGUACAACCUUAGUGUAUUCAUAUCUCAAUUAGAAGUCCCGAAAUGCAGCUGCUACUUUAAUGGCGUAUAUAGAACAUAUUACUUUAUUCCAAGCAGUCAUUAGUAAUUACUAGGAUAAGAGACAUUCCUGCGAGGGGUCUCUUUUAUUAAUUUGAAUAGAAUAGGAGAAAAAUACAUUUUCUACCGUAUCCCUGUAUCGUUUAUCCUUAUGAAAUACCAGACGAAAUAGAACGAUCUUAGAAAGGAUAUAAUGAAAUUCCUUGAUUGUUUCUUACCAGAUAAAUGAUCCCUUUUAUAUUCCACUGAUAGGGCUAACAGACAAUUAAUUUUUAAUUAUACCAAACGAAAAUAGAUAUCGAAAUUCUAAAGAAAUAAAAUUCUAAAUAAAUAAACAGAGAGUUUCUUAUUCGAAACGUCCCGUGAUCUUCAACCAAUUCUGCGCUUGAAUAUAAUUACCAGGAGUAAGCGCAAUAGCUUGUUUCCAAUACUCGGCAGCUUGAUUGAACCAAGCCUCCGCAAUUCAGAAUCUCCCUGUCGAACGGCCUGUUCCCCCCGGUCGGAAUAGGUGGUUCAAUUCCUUUCCUUAGAACCGUACUUGAGAGUUUCCCGCCUCAUACGGCUCGGCAAUCAAUUCUUUUGGUGUCCCGGGUUUUUGAAUCUAGUAUAUCGAAUUGAAUGAGAUUUCUCAUAGAUCGAUCUUUAUCUUUAUUCUUUUUUUUGGGGGGUUAACCAAAAGAGGUUAAUUCCAUGAGCAUGAGUUUCAAACUUGACUUUUGAUUAAAUUAAUAAUCAGCUUUGCUUUCAUUUUAUCUUUUCUCCCACCGUCAGAAGAAUAACAUAGAAGCAUUUCCACUAUAGUUAGAAUUUUCUGAAAGGUAUCUAUCUCGGUUUCAUAUAAAAAUUGAUAUAGAAUCUUUGAAAAAGCCCUUUCUUCCUAAGAAAGAAAAAGGCUUACUGUCUUUGGGAUCUGAUGCUACACCGCUGCUCAAUACCUUAGGGGAUCGACUUUAUUACAUAAGUGGAUUCCUUACUUUUAUCUCAUAUCAUGACAUAAAUAAGCAGUUCUUAUUGGAUCGGCAUCGGCCCAAAACCUCGCGAAUUGAUCUUUACGGUGCUUCCUCUAUCAAUUAGAUCCUUUAUCCAUAGAAUAAACUAUCUAGGCAUAUCGAUUUCUUCAUAUUCGACUUCUAUGAAGUUUCUUUCUUUGCUACAGCUGAUAAAAAUCGUUUUUGCACGAUGCAUAUGUAGAAAGCCUAUUUUUUUUUUUUCGAGUAUUUAUUAGUGUAUUUGCUCUUUACCCCCCCUCCUUUUUUUUUUUCUUUUACUUUUUUCUUUCUAUAGUAGAGAUAGUCGCACGUAAUGACAGAUCACAGCCAUAUUAUUAAAAGCUUGUGGUAAGAACGGAUUUCGUUCUAGUGCCCGAAAAUAAUAUUCUAAAGCUUUUGUAUGUUCUCCGUUACUUGUGUGGAUAAGGCCUAUGUUAUAGAGUAUAUAGCUUCGAUCGUAAGGAUCAAUUUCUAGUCGCAUAGCUUCAUAAUAAUUCUGUAAAGCUUCCGCAUAAUUGCCUUCAGA